GUGAAUCCUAACAUGUCUGUGGAAACAACGGCAAGGCUUUUUGGCACCAGACGUUUAGAUGUUUGACAUAUUCAGGUGUGGGAGCACACUCAGAUGAUUGGCUGCCUGGAGGCUGCUGAGGAACCUGAUUGGACCUGCUGAAUCACCAAGCCAAUUGGUGGAUGAUGAGACCCACCUGCAUCCUACAAAAGGCUCCUGGAUUCAUUGUUUUAGUGGGGCAGCUUUUGGAAGAGGUUUUGUACAGCUGACCCCUGCUUUGCUUUGUGUGGUUUGUUUGGAGAUUGUUUUGGCAGCUGCACAUUAUUUUGGUAUUGCUGACCCACCUUGCUCUGCUUACCAGUUUGGUUAAGUGCUUGUUUGUUUUCUAGUUCAAUCUAGAUUGUUGUAUUUGAGAAGAUUGGGCUGGAUUUGUCAUUUUCUGUCAGCCGUAUUGUAUGUUGGGACCCUGCUUCUUGUAAUAAAUCCCCUUAAAUGUU